rnacentral:misc_RNA from 1 species
UUGAUUUAUUUUGUAAAUCACUCAGACGACAUUGUUACGCAAGAGUUUGAUAUGGUCCACCGGAGGGCCCCCGCCCGGAGGCAGGGUCACCCCCGAGGCAACAGAGUCGGACGACAAAGGGUUUGUGACGUCCCGCGCACCGGAGCACGCGGGUAGUUACAGUUAAUGAUCCCUCCGCAGGUUCACCUACGGAGA